UUGAACGCUGGCGGCAGGCCUAACCCAUGCAAGUCGAGCGGAUGAAGGGAGCUUGCUCCUGGAUUCAGCGGCGGACGGGUGAGUAAUGCCUAGGAAUCUGCCUGGUAGUGGGGGAUAACGUCCGGAAACGGGCGCUAAUACCGCAUACGUCCUGAGGGAGAAAGUGGGGGAUCUUCGGACCUCACGCUAUCAGAUGAGCCUAGGUCGGAUCAGCUAGUUGGUGGGGUAAAGGCCUACCAAGGCGACGAUCCGUAACUGGUCUGAGAGGAUGAUCAGUCACACUGGAACUGAGACACGGUCCAGACUCCUACGGGAGGCAGCAGUGGGGAAUAUUGGACAAUGGGCGAAAGCCUGAUCCAGCCAUGCCGCGUGUGUGAAGAAGGUCUUCGGAUUGUAAAGCACUUUAAGUUGGGAGGAAGGGCAGUAAGUUAAUACCUUGCUGUUUUGACGUUACCAACAGAAUAAGCACCGGCUAACUUCGUG
rnacentral:rRNA from 1 species